GUCAAAAUACCAAACACAACUAUCUACCAAGCACACCUUGCUGCAAUCCUGAAGGUUUCAGCUGCUCAGUCACAGAGGCCAAACAUCAACAAACUGACAGAACGGAAGCAUUGCCAGCUGCCGGGCAAACACUAAAAACUCUCUGAGCUAGAGAAAAAAGGCAAGCAGCAUGGAUUCUGACCCUCUCAAACUAAAAUACAAGAUGACCUUCAGUGAACACACACAUUCCUGACGUUAAGGGGGAACUGGAAUACUCCUUCUAUUCCCAGCUCUUCCAACCCUGGAAACUUGGACAUCUGUGAUUAAUAAUUGAUUUUUUUUUUAAAAUAAUGAACCAUGUCCAGCUAGUUGAUGACUUGAAGUUUUCUGCUCCAGAUUAACUAUUUCCAUAUUGCAUUGUAACGGUCUUAGUAUUUAAAGGUCAGGGUACUAUAGGGAACAUACUUUCCUACUUCUUUAGAAAGCAAACUGAGUCCAAUUGUUGUAUUGUCUGCACCAUCUAAACAUUUUUUAAUCAAAACACCACCACCAUGCUGCUGCCAAUGAACCCAGGGACCAGUCUGACUAGAAAGAAAGCUGUCUAGACAGUCAAACUUUCUUGUUAUUUCUAAUUAAUAUACUAAAAUGUAGUUUUGGCAAUUUCAAAAACACUAUUAAACAACUGACCAACACGCACAAACCAGCGCCAGGUCAAUCAGAUACUGGA